rnacentral:rRNA from 1 species
UACAGAGGUCUCAAGCGUUGUUCGGAUUCAUUGGGCGUAAAGGGUGCGUAGGCGGCGCGGUAAGUCGGGUGUGAAAUCUCGGAGCUUAACUCCGACACUGCAUUCGAUACUGCCGUGCUUGAGGACUGGAGAGGAGACUGGAAUUUACGGUGUAGCGGUGAAAUGCGUAGAUAUCGUAAGGAAGACCAGUGGCGAAGGCGGGUCUCUGGACAGUUCCUGACGCUGAGGCACGAAGGCCAGGGGAGCAAACGGG